rnacentral:lncRNA from 1 species
UGCUGGUGCCCUUCAAACCCUGCCAAAAAGGGAGUUCUUGCUCUCUGGUCUUCUAUGGGCAGCGUCAGUCUGGGGUUAUGGACUGGGGCUGUAAAUUUCAGCUUAUGCCUUUAGGCAUCUGUGUCUUCUCUCCCUCAUUGUCCUCGUAUUUCAGAACUGGCACCUGAGCUCAGUGGGAGCUGAUCUGGGCACAGAGCAGCGGGCAGAGGAGUGCACACGAGGAAGUGCUUCAGAGGAGCUCAAACCAGGAUGGACACAGCACGAAGCUGCUGGACAGAGCAAUUCCACUCCCUGGAGCAUCUGCAGAGCCAUCAGGUCUGCACUGAAGGCAGGAUGGGACAUCCUGAGGCGUAAGUGACUGCCUCGGCACAUCAGGCGCAGUCGAAGUCCUGACUGGGAUUCAGGAAAGGACAGGGCAGAAUCGGAAGGUGUCGCUCCUGCACCUCUGAAGACCCAGCUUGUCUCCACCCCUCCCUGGGGAGCCACAGAGAGAAAGGACCCAGUGGAGACCCAACGCUCCCAAGUUAACAAACACAGCGUCUUCCUCUUCGUUUCUCUCUCUCCCUGUUGACUGAAAUGGUAAUUUUAAGUCUGUAAUAGCUCCUCAGGGCACUGAGGUGAGGCAAGAGGGGGAUGUAUUUACGUUCACAUCUG